UUGAACGCUGGCGGCAUGCUUUACACAUGCAAGUCGAACGGCAGCGGGGGCUUCGGCCUGCCGGCGAGUGGCGAACGGGUGAGUAAUGCAUCGGAACGUACCCAGUCGUGGGGGAUAACUACGCGAAAGCGUAGCUAAUACCGCAUACGUCCUGAGGGAGAAAGCGGGGGAUCUUCGGACCUCGCGCGAUUGGAGCGGCCGAUGUCGGAUUAGCUAGUAGGUGAGGUAAAGGCUCACCUAGGCGACGAUCCGUAGCGGGUCUGAGAGGAUGAUCCGCCACACUGGGACUGAGACACGGCCCAGACUCCUACGGGAGGCAGCAGUGGGGAAUUUUGGACAAUGGGCGCAAGCCUGAUCCAGCCAUGCCGCGUGAGUGAAGAAGGCCUUCGGGUUGUAAAGCUCUUUCAGCAGGAACGAAACGGUGGCUACUAAUACUAGCUACUAAUGACGGUACCUGAAGAAGAAGCACCGGCUAACUACGU
rnacentral:rRNA from 1 species